GAUGAUAGAGGUGCGAAACUCAUGAGUAUUCCUGCGGAGAUGCUCAACCAUCUAGGAGGCAGUGAGAAAGGGAGUUUUGCCGAAAUGGGACGUUGGAUUGAGAAGCGUUCUGUUGGCCGGCAGGAGAAGAUGUUGCCGGCUGUCACAUUAUGUGGAGCGCUAUCG
rnacentral:ncRNA from 1 species